rnacentral:rRNA from 1 species
AACAGGAUUAGAUACCCUGGUAGUCCACGCCGUAAACGAUGUCGGUUUGGAGGUUGUGCCCUUGAGGCGUGGCUUCCGGAGCUAACGCGUUAAAUCGACCGCCUGGGGAGUACGGCCGCAAGGUUAAAACUCAAAUGAAUUGACGGGGGCCCGCACAAGCGGUGGAGCAUGUGGUUUAAUUCGAUGCAACGCGAAGAACCUUACCUGGUCUUGACAUCCACAGAACUUUCCAGAGAUGGAUUGGUGCCUUCGGGAACUGUGAGACAGGUGCUGCAUGGCUGUCGUCAGCUCGUGUUGUGAAAUGUUGGGUUAAGUCCCGCAACGAGCGCAACCCUUAUCCUUUGUUGCCAGCGGUUAGGCCGGGAACUCAAAGGAGACUGCCAGUGAUAAACUGGAGGAAGGUGGGGAUGACGUCAAGUCAUCAUGGCCCUUACGACCAGGGCUACACACGUGCUACAAUGGCAUAUACAAAGAGAAGCGACCUCGCGAGAGCAAGCGGACCUCAUAAAGUAUGUCGUAGUCCGGAUUGGAGUCUGCAACUCGACUCCAUGAAGUCGGAAUCGCUAGUAAUCGUAGAUCAGAAUGCUACGGUGAAUACGUUCCCGGGCCUUGUACACACCGCCCGUCACACCAUGGGAGUGGGUUGCAAAAGAAGUAGGUAGCUUAACCUUCGGGAGGGCGCUUACCACUUUGUGAUUCAUGACUGGGGUGAAGUCGUAACAAGGUAACC